rnacentral:rRNA from 1 species
UACAGAGGGUGCAAGCGUUGUUCGGAAUUACUGGGCGUAAAGGGCGCGUAGGCGGCUUGGCAAGUCAGACGUGAAAUCCCGGGGCUUAACUCCGGAAGUGCGUUUGAAACUGCCUCGCUAGAGUACAGUAGAGGUUGGUGGAAUACCCAGUGUAGAGGUGAAAUUCGUAGAUAUUGGGUAGAACACCGGUGGCGAAGGCGGCCAACUGGGCUGUAACUGACGCUGAGGCGCGAAAGCGUGGGGAUCAAACAGG